UUGGCCUGGAAUAACACGAGGAAACUUGUGCUAAUACCGGAUAAGUCUUUACGGAGAAAGCUUUAUGCACCAUUGGAUGAGCCUGCACUUGAUUAGUUUGUUGGUGGGGUAAUGGCCUACCAAGACUGUGAUCAAUAGCUGAUUUGAGAGGAUGAUCAGCCACAUUGGGACUGAGACACGGCCCAAACUCCUACGGGAGGCAGCAGUGGGGAAUCUUGCACAAUGGAGGAAACUCUGAUGCAGCGAUGCCGCGUGAGUGAAGAAG
rnacentral:rRNA from 1 species